GACGAACGCUGGCGGCGUGCCUAAUACAUGCAAGUCGAGCGAAGUUUUUCUGGUGCUUGCACUAGAAAAACUUAGCGGCGAACGGGUGAGUAACACGUAAAGAACCUGCCUCAUAGACUGGGACAACUAUUGGAAACGAUAGCUAAUACCGGAUAACAGUAUUUCUCGCAUGAGAGAUAUUUAAAAGUUGGUUAUGCUAACACUAUGAGAUGGCUUUGCGGUGCAUUAGCUAGUUGGUGGGGUAAGGCCCACCAAGGCGACGAUGCAUAGCCGACCUGAGAGGGUGAUCGGCCACACUGGGACUGAGACACGGCCCAGACUCCUACGGGAGGCAGCAGUAGGGAAUCUUCCGCAAUGGGCGAAAGCCUGACGGAGCAACGCCGCGUGAGUGAAGAAGGAUUUCGGUUCGUAAAGCUCUGUUGUUAGGGAAGAAUGGAUAUGUAGUAACUAUACAUGUAAGAGACGGUACCUAACCAGAAAGCCACGGCUAACUACGUG
rnacentral:rRNA from 1 species